rnacentral:SRP_RNA from 1 species
GCUAGGCAUAGUGGCACAUGCCUGUAGUCCCAGCUACUCAGGAGGCAGAGGUAGGAGGAUCACUUGAGCCCAGGAGUUCUGGGCUAUAGUGUGCUAUGCCAAUCGGGUGUCCAAACUAAGUUUGGCAUCAAUAUGGUGAUCUCCCAGGAGUGGGGGACCACCAGUUUGCCUAAGGAGGGGUGAACUGGCCCAGGUUGGAAAUGGAGCAGGUCAAAACUCCUGUGCUGAUCAGUAGUGGGAUCGCACCUGUGAAUAGCCACUGCACUCCAGCCUGGGCAACAUAGCGAGACCCCAUCUCU